CUGCUUUUCCCCUAAGAGUGGAACAGGCCUUAGAACACAGCUAUUGCUCAGAAAAUGUUAUCACUUAAGCGAACCAUUGCCUGGGUUGGUCAUCAGGUAGGCACUAAUGCGUUAUGGCUCACAAGCCCACCUGUCAGGGACCUCAAAAUAGCCUCUGCUGUCGGAGACAACAAAGGUUAGUUCAAGUUCAAGCCCACCAAUGACUAAAGCUGACUGAGAGAGAUAUCUUCAACCAGAAGGUCCAGAAAGGCAACGGUGAUCCAUUGUAAUGACACUGAUAGCAUUCUUGGGCCUUUUCUUUCUCAACUUCUGUACCCAGUGAACCCUUGGGAAAAAUAUUUUCUCCAAUAUAAUUUUCUUGCCUCUGCCCAAACAUUUUUGCAAAAAAAAAAAAAAAAAAAAAAGAAAAAAAAAAGCCUGCAGUUUCCAGGCAAAUAAAUAAUAUCAAGACAGAAAACCCGAGUGAGUGGAAUUAGCAGAAUCCUGUGACCUCAAAGAGCCCCAGCUCUACUUGGUAGCUUGUAGUGUCCCCUGCUUUUUCUGAGUGCAUUUGCAUUAUCAUAAUGGUUGUUUGGUGAGAGUGGGGGUGGGGGCCAAAGUUUCUAGGCAACUCAGUCUCUGGACCCCUGCCAGCCAGCCAUUCAGCCAGCAGGAUCCAGGUCUUAAGACAAGGAGCUGUGCUGGGGAUUUCAGUCCUAUGCAAAGUCACCUAAGGUUCAAAUUUGAGUCUUAUGAUGCAAAGAAGUUGCUUGGGAGCCAGUCAGUUAAACCCGUGAAGGAGCCUAGUGGUGACUAUACAGCUUAGCUCCAAGAGCUUCAUAUUGGAGAGCAGCUGAGAAGAAUGGCUAAGAGCAUAGAUUCUGGAGCCAUCUUACUAAAAUCCAAUGCUGCUACAAAGAAACUUGGUGGCCUUGGGUAAGUCAUUUAAACCCCUCUGUCUCAGUUUUAUCAGUUAUGAAAUGGGGAAAGAGUAGUAUCUACCCAGUAGAGUUUUUGUGAGGACUAAAUUAGUUGAUGUAUAGAUUUUAGCUGGGGUCCUCUGGAAGAAAGACCCAGAGACAAACAUUAUGGUGAGGAUAGUUCAUGUGGGAGCUACAUGCCUAAGGUGGUAACAGUGGUGUUAAAAGGGAAACCUAACAAGACAAGAUACCAUGCGAUGCAGUAAGAUGCCUUACCAUACUGGCCACUCUACAAAUAGCUAAGAAAACAGAGCACAUUGCUCGGCAGAUGUUCUUUCAACAUAGGUGAUGUUAAUGGGAUUACUGUGGAAGGGUCGCAAAGAGGAGGCACACCUCACAGCAGUCCAUGAAUGAGAUAAAGGAAGGGGAUAUACCUGUCUGGCUCCUUUUGGUCUCUUGAAUUCCACUGGUUCACUCUGCAGAGAGGUAAUUGCCCUAUUCUACCCAUAGCUUCAUCUGGUCCCUUGGCAAGCACUUUGGAAACCACACUCCAUGACUCAGCCAGGUCUCAAAUGGAG
rnacentral:lncRNA from 1 species